AAGCACCGGCUAACUACGUGCCAGCAGCCGCGGUAAUACGUAGGGUGCGAGCGUUGUCCUGGAAUUACUGGGCGUAAAGAGCUCGUAGGUGGUUUGUCGCGUCGUCUGUGAAAUUCCGGGGCUUAACUUCGGGCGUGCAGGCGAUACGGGCAUAACUUGAGUGCUGUAGGGGAGACUGGAAUUCCUGGUGUAGCGGUGAAAUUCCUGGUGUAGCGGUGAAAUGCGCAGAUAUCAGGAGGAACACCGAUGGCGAAGGCAGGUCUCUGGGCAGUUACUGACGCUGAGGAGCGAAAGCAUGGGUAGCAAACAGGAUUAGAUACCCUGGUAGUCCAUGCCGUAAACGGUGGGCGCUAGGUGUAGGGGGCUUCCACGUCUUCUGUGCCGUAGCUAACGCAUUAAGCGCCCCGCCUGGGGAGUACGGCCGCAAGGCUAAAACUCAAAGGAAUUGACGGGGGCCCGCACAAGCGGCGGAGCAUGUGGAUUAAUUCGAUGCAACGCGAAGAACCUUACCUGGGCUUGACAUACACUAGAUUGCUGCAGAGAUGUAGUGUCCCUUGUGGCUGGUGUACAGGUAGGUGCAUGGUUGUCGUCAGCUCGUGUCGUGAGAUGUUGGGUUAAGUCCCGCAACGAGCGCAACCCUUGUCUUAUGUUGCCAGCAUUUGGUUGGGGACUCAUGAGAGACUGCCGGGGUUAACUCGGAGGAAGGUGGGGAUGACGUCAAAUCAUCAUGCCCCUUAUGUCCAGGGCUUCACACAUGCUACAAUGGUCGGUACAACGCGCAGCGACACUGUGAGGUGGAGCGAAUCGCUGAAAGCCGGCCUUAGUUCGGAUUGGGGUCUGCAACUCGACCCCAUGAAGUCGGAGUCGCUAGUAAUCGCAGAUCAGCAACGCUGCGGUGAAUACGUUCCCGGGCCUUGUACACACCGCCCGUCACGUCAUGAAAGUUGGUAACACCCGA
rnacentral:rRNA from 1 species